CGUUCUUAAUAUAUUCUUAGGGUUUGUUACAGAUAUAAUUUAUCUGGUCAACCCUUGACCCUUAACCACAUUCUGUACACAUACAUAACCAUAUUCACAGAACUUAAUCACAAAAAUCCUUAAUCCUGAAUAAUUCACCUAUAAGCCUUCACGAAAUUUUGAAAUCCUCAAAAUUCCAUCCUAAUAACAUCAAAUGCAUACACUUAUUUUCUGUCUAGG
rnacentral:lncRNA from 1 species